UGUGCUAAUACCGAAUAAGCCCUUACGGGGAAAGUUUUAACGCCGAAAGAUGAGCCCGCACUUGAUUAGCUAGUUGGUAAGGUAAAGGCUUACCAAGGCAAUGAUCAAUAGCUGUUCUUAGAGGAAGACCAGCCACAUUGGGACUGAGACACGGCCCAGACUCCUACGGGAGGCAGCAGUGGGGAAUCUUGCACAAUGGGGGAAACCCUGAUGCAACGAUGCCGCGUGAGUGAAGAAGGCCUUUGGGUUGUAAAACUCUUUCGUCGGGGAAGAAAAUGACUGUACCCGGAUAAGA
rnacentral:rRNA from 1 species